rnacentral:rRNA from 1 species
CCUACGGGAGGCAGCAGUGGGGAAUAUUGCACAAUGGGGGAAACCCUGAUGCAGCGACGCCGCGUGAGUGAAGAAGUAUUUCGGUAUGUAAAGCUCUAUCAGCAGGGAAGAAAUAAAGUCCUUCGGACUUUGGACGGUACCUGACUAAGAAGCCCCGUCUAACUACGUGCCAGCAGCCGCGGUAAUACGUAGGGGGCAAGCGUUAUCCGGAUUUACUGGGUGUAAAGGGAGCGUAGACGGCAGCGCAAGUCUGGAGUGAAAUCCCAUGGCUUAACCAUGGAACUGCUAUGGAAACUGUGCAGCUGGAGUGCAGGAGAGGUAAGCGGAAUUCCUGGUGUAGCGGUGAAAUGCGUAGAUAUUAGGAGGAACACCAGUGGCGAAGGCGGCUUACUGGACUGUCACUGACGUUGAGGCUCGAAAGCGUGGGGAGCAAACAGGAUUAGAUACCCUUGUAGUC